ACAGGUUGUCGGCGGUGUUUGGAGAAAGUGCUUAUUGCCAACAAUAAUAUCAGGUGCAAUGACCACAUACCUAGGCGGUGGUUGGUUCGAAAAAAGUGUAUAAAUUGUCAUGGAAACGCGACGCUCUGUGGACGGCAAAACAUGCAAGGGAACUUGAUCUGAUUAAAACUUAUAGGGGAAUUUUCCAACGAAAUGAUUUACUGUGAACAUACAUAUUUAAAACUACCCAAAGCUUAUCCAACAUUAGACAAGCUGCUUACCCACUGUUAAUAGAAAUCAUUAAAACUUUCUUUUUACUACAAAGAGAAAAACAAAACCAUGUAAUGAGUAAUGCAAUUGAACUUUAUUUUAGUUGUGCGGGCACAGAACAACAUUGAUAUUUUUUCAUUUCAAGAUGAACUAUUGUAUUUCCUGAGUCUUAAAGAUACCAUUCAGUUUGAAGGACACAAGCAUGGGUUCAAAUACAGUAAACACUUUCCCGGUCACACGCAUUUAUGCGUAGGUGGUGAAAAUUGCUGCCCUUUUCUGGGUUUUAGUUCUUCCCAGAUGCAUUUCCCAGAUGCCAGCAUGCUGAGGAUUAGGCAUUGUCCAAAAUGUCUGUAUGAAAGAGAUACCCCGUCGAAAUAGUAUUGAUGUUUUCUCGCACACAUGCUUAGAAAUAUUAUUACCAGUCACGGCGUGGGAACCGUAGCAAAAAUCUCCUAGGAUCCAAGUAGAAUAUUGCCAUUUCUGGACGUAAAGCCUGCAGUGGUCCAAAAGGACCUAUAAAUGAUCCUGUGCACCAACACCACCACCUGCUUCCUGUGGCUGAUGCUGAGAUUCCGAGAUAUCCUUGCAGCUGAACAUAUGCGCCUACGCUUCUUAUUAGGGAGGUUUAUCUGCCUGUAGGAGUUUUGGAUUUAAGGACGCCUU